rnacentral:rRNA from 1 species
CCCUGGCUCAGGACGAACGCGGGCGGCGUGCCUAAUACAUGCAAGUCGAGCGGAGUUGAUGGAGUGCUUGCACUCCUGAUACUUAGCGGCGGACGGGUGAGUAACACGUAGGUAACCUGCCCGUAAGACUGGGAUAACAUUCGGAAACGAAUGCUAAUACCGGAUACACAACUUGGUCGCAUGAUCGGAGUUGGGAAAGACGGAGUAAUCUGUCACUUACGGAUGGACCUGCGGCGCAUUAGCUAGUUGGUGAGGUAACGGCUCACCAAGGCGACGAUGCGUAGCCGACCUGAGAGGGUGAUCGGCCACACUGGGACUGAGACACGGCCCAGACUCCUACGGGAGGCAGCAGUAGGGAAUCUUCCGCAAUGGACGAAAGUCUGACGGAGCAACGCCGCGUGAGUGAUGAAGGUUUUCGGAUCGUAAAGCUCUGUUGCCAGGGAAGAACGCUAAGGAGAGUAACUGCUCUUUAGGUGACGGUACCUGAGAAGAAAGCCCCGGCUAACUA